CUGGGAGGACCAUCUCCUAAGGCUAAAUACUCUCUAGUGACCGAUAGUGAACCAGUACCGUGAGGGAAAGGUGAAAAGCACCCCGGAAGGGGAGUGAAAUAGAACCUGAAACCGUGUGCUUACAAGUAGUCAGAGCCCGUUAAUGGGUGAUGGCGUGCCUUUUGUAGAAUGAACCGGCGAGUUACGAUUUGAUGCAAGGUUAAGCAGUAAAUGUGGAGCCGUAGCGAAAGCGAGUCUGAAUAGGGCGUUUAGUAUUUGGUCGUAGACCCGAAACCAGGUGAUCUACCCUUGGUCAGGUUGAAGUUCAGGUAACACUGAAUGGAGGACCGAACCGACUUACGUUGAAAAGUGAGCGGAUGAACUGAGGGUAGCGGAGAAAUUCCAAUCGAACCUGGAGAUAGCUGGUUCUCUCCGAAAUAGCUUUAGGGCUAGCCUCAAGUGAUGAUUAUUGGAGGUAGAGCACUGUUUGGACGAGGGGCCCCUCUCGGGUUACCGAAUUCAGACAAACUCCGAAUGCCAAUUAAUUUAACUUGGGAGUCAGAACAUGGGUGAUAAGGUCCGUGUUCGAAAGGGAAACAGCCCAGACCACCAGCUAAGGUCCCAAAAUAUA
rnacentral:rRNA from 1 species